rnacentral:rRNA from 1 species
UAGAUACCCCNCUUAUGCCUAGCCCUAUACAUCGACAGUAUUUUACACCCGCUGUCCGCCUGGGAACUACGAGCAUCAGCUUAAAACCCAAAGGACUUGGCGGUGCUUUAGAUCCACCUAGAGGAGCCUGUUCUAGAACCGAUAACCCCCGUUCAACCUCACCCUUCCUUGCCUUUCCCGCCUAUAUACCACCGUCGUCAGCUUACCCUGUGAAGGCCUAUUAGUAAGCAAAAUUGGCACAGCCCAAAACGUCAGGUCGAGGUGUAGCGAAUGGAGGGGGAAGAAAUGGGCUACAUUCCUUAACACAUGGAACUACGGACGAUGUACUGAAACGUACAUCUGAAGGAGGAUUUAGCAGUAAGCAGAAAAUAGAGCGUUCCGCUAGCAACCGGCCCUGAAGCGCGCACACACCGCCCGUC